UACGGAGGGUGCGAGCGUUGUCCGGAAUCACUGGGCGUAAAGGGCGCGUAGGCGGCCUGAUAAGUAGGGGGUGAAAUCCUGCGGCUUAACCGCAGGGCUGCCUUCUAAACUGUCAGGCUCGAGCACAGUAGAGGCAGGUGGAAUUCCCGGUGUAGCGGUGGAAUGCGUAGAGAUCGGGAAGAACAUCAGUGGCGAAGGCGGCCUGCUGGGCUGUUGCUGACGCUGAGGCGCGACAGCGUGGGAGCAAACAGG
rnacentral:rRNA from 1 species